rnacentral:snoRNA from 1 species
GGGUCCAUGAUGUGUACUUUAUGUUGCCUUGAGAAGCGAUGAUGACUUAAAUUUCACGUACAAUGGUAUGAUGCUGAGGCCC